rnacentral:misc_RNA from 1 species
GAUGAAGAACGUAGCGAAAUGCGAUAAGUAAUGUGAAUUGCAGAAUACAGUGAAUCAUCGAAUCUUUGAACGCACCUUGCGCCCUUUGGCCAUUCCGAAGGGCAUGCCUGUUUGAGUAUCAUGAACACCUCAACUCUUCAUGGUUUUCCAUGAUGAGCUUGGACUUUGGGGGUCUUGCUGGCCUGUGGGUCGGCUCCUCUCAAAUGAAUCAGCUUGCCGGUUUUUGGUGGGCAUCACAGGUGUGAUAACUAUCUACGCUUGUGGUUUUCCACCAGGGUAACCUUCAGCAGUGGAGGUUCACUGGAGCUUACAAAUGUCUCUCCUCUGUGAGGACAGCCCUUUGAAUGUUUGAUCUCAAAUCAGGUAGGACUACCCGCUGAACUUAAGCAUAUCAAUAAGCGGAGGA